ACAGUGGAAUUCGACUCAGGAAUAACGGAGCUACAGAUAACAGAAAGUGCCAAGUGUAUGUCCUCAAGCGAGCUGCCGUGUCAGGAGAGUAUGUCCUGGCCGGGUACAAAGUGCAUGAAAUCUGAUCCACAACACCAUAUAAAGCUGAGCCUGGUGGUACAUAGACAUCAGAGGUUCGAGGACACCCAGGCACUAUCGAGGCUACCUGACACUCAGUCUCAGAAAACAGAACAAAAUAAAAUCUUAAUGACGUCAA